AUACGGAAGGUCCGGGCGUUAUCCGGAUUUAUUGGGUUUAAAGGGAGCGCAGGCGGAGAUGCAAGCGUGACGUCAAAUUUCGGGGCUCAACCCCGUCUCGCGUCGCGAACUGCGUCCCUUGGUUGCGGGCAGGGGAGGCGGAACUCGCGGUGUAGCGGUGGAAUGCAUAGAUAACACGAAGAACUCCGAUAGCGAAGGCAGCCUCCCGGCCCGUCAACGACGCUCAGGCUCGAAGGUGCGGGUAUCAAACAGGAUUAGAUACCCUGGUAGUCCGCACAGUAAACGAUGGACACCCGCGGUUUGGCCUAUAUGGCUGAGCCGCCAAGCGAAAGCGUUAAGUGUCCCACCUGGGGAGUACGCCGGCAACGGUGAAACUCAAAUGAAUUGGCGGGG
rnacentral:rRNA from 1 species